UACGAAGGGGGCUAGCGUUGCUCGGAAUUACUGGGCGUAAAGCGCACGUAGGCGGCUUGUUAAGUCAGGGGUGAAAUCCUGGAGCUCAACUCCAGAACUGCCUUUGAUACUGGCGAGCUUGAGUUCGGGAGAGGUGAGUGGAACUGCGAGUGUAGAGGUGAAAUUCGUAGAUAUUCGCAAGAACACCAGUGGCGAAGGCG
rnacentral:rRNA from 1 species